AUCUCGUUAGCUCAGUUGGUAGAGCAAUUGCAUUUUAAUCAAUGGGUCACAUGGUUCGAGUCCAGUACGGGUCA
rnacentral:tRNA from 1 species